rnacentral:lncRNA from 1 species
GUGGAAUUAUGUUCCCGGGGGAUUAUGGCUGCCUCUGCUGAGUCAUAAAUGUUGCCAGGGAAGUAGAGGAAAGCCAGCAGUCACAGGCCUCACCCCACUCCCAUGCAGCCUGCAUUCUUAAAGGUCAGUCUCACUCCCACUGUGCCACCCCAACAGCAUUGAGUGUAUUUGCAGGAAGCUGGUGGCCAGGGCUGAGAACUUGCCCCAGACUAUGAGCCACUGCAUUGAGAAAGCAAGCAGACUUGCAGUUUUUCAGUGUCUCAGGGAGCCUGCAGCAGCGAUCCAGUUCCCUCAAAGGGUUUGUACUGAGGUCGUGGGGCAGACACAAGCAGCUUGUGCAAUCCCUGCAGUGCUGGAUGAAAAUCAGCACGCGGCAAAUAGGACCUCCGUCCACACAGCCAGGUGUAUGCAAAUGCUUCCUUACCAUUGUUCAAUUCAAGGCAGACGUCCAGAUCAGCUGGGAGCACAGGAGGCAAACAAAAGACUGCAGGAGCUGCAGGUGACUUCAGCCGGAGCCACCGAGCUCUGGGCAUGUUCAAGCGCAGAGGCCGCCCUUGCUCCUCGUUCCCGCAUUUCAGAGUGGACUCUGAGAUCCUGCUUCUGGCUCUCCUCAGAGUCCUGAUUUCCCACAGCUGUCUUCAUCUGAGUCUCGUUCACAAGCCUGACCUGCUCCCGAUCUCCACCCCGGCCCAGCUCUGUGCUCCUGCUUGGCCAAGGUCCUCCUCUCCGGUUGACCCACUGGGCUCCCCGGUGCCAUGAAACUUGCUGGACAGUUAAUGUUACCUGAAAAGAACUGAGACCAUUCUGUGUUGAAAUCCCAAUUCUCUUCCUUUCCAAACUGUGAGCUUGGUGGAGUUCUUUAACAUCUCUUAACCUGAGUUUAACUCAUCUGUACAAUGGGGAUAGUGGUUUCCUGUCACAGAGUUUUGUGCGAACGGAAUGAAACAACAUAUAUAAGGUUUCUAGCACAGAGUAAGUGCUCAGUGCAAGUUAGCUGGACUUGUAGCUCUUAGCUAUGAAUAUUUCAGCUAACACAUCUGCAGCUGGAAGCUACUGGUAAUUCUGUGUGAUUCUAUUACCCUCAGUAGCCUUCUUUUCAGACAAUAAGACACAUGGAUGUUUGAUGCAUUGUAGACUGUGUAUUUAUUUUACCAUUUAAUUUAUUUAAUGAAGUUUUUUCCCUGAAGUUAUAUAUAUGUAUAUAUAUAUAUGUAUAUAUUCUCUUUAUAGAAAAUCUGUGUACCUACCCACC